rnacentral:lncRNA from 1 species
GGCGGGCACCCGGAGGCGGCCCAGGCGGGGGUCUCCCCCGGGGCCUGGGGCGGGCCGAAGAUGUCCAGGCCUGGCCGGAGCCGCCUCCUGAUUGACGAGGCCCGCAUGGGAGUGCGGACGUGCAGCACAGAUUUGCGGGUCUCCUGGGCCUCUUGGGCGGUGAUCAGCGCGGACCUUGGGCCAACCGGGGAAGCAGGCCGGAGCACUACCCCCCACCCCCAUUUUAGAACAUCCUUCUGAGGGCUUCGCUGACCUCGGCUUGAACUCCUUCAGAGCCGGAGAGAUCACUCCUUCCACCACCGAGGGAGAGGAGGCAAAAUGAAUUUGCCAGCUUUGAAUUCAUUCUCAAGGCUCCGCUAGUCUCACAGCCAGUGAACUCAGUCUGGAAUUCCUGAAAGCUCAGAAAACUGCUGCUUAGGUCCACCCGGGCGUGGGGGACGGGGUGGCAGCUGAGCAUCCCUGGAGAGGGUGGGUGGUAUGAAAGCACUUCCAGACCUCUAGGGACACCAGGGAGUCAUGGUCCCAGCACAUUGCUGUGUGAUUGAGCCCCUCCUCAGCCUGUGGGUGGCCUAAGUUCACAGGGAGGUAAUGGGGUAGAUUGGAUACCUCUGGGGUCUUGGAAGAAGCUAUGACUUAUUUACUGUCUACUAUGUGUCUCAGCCUCACUGGGCCUGGAGAUCUGCUGGUGAGACAAGAGAGGACAGUGCCAUCACUUCCUCGUGGCCCAGAGCUGGAAGAUGCAUCCUGCUCAGCCCCUGCAGGCCCAGAAGUCACCUGGCUCCACUAGGAGGGCAUGGGCAGUGUGGGGCCGCCAGGUUGUACCAACCUUCAGAGCACACUCAAGUGCUGUUAAUUUCCCUGUCCUGUGGGAGCCACCAGCAGAUUGGGGAGAGGACCAUUGCUGGGGCCUGGGCCCAGGUUUCAGGAGGCAGAAAAUCUGGAGGCCAGCAGGAUGGUGGGGGUGGGAGGCUUGAGGUCCCUGAGGGAAGCAAAGGACUUGUGUAGGGUGCGGCGAGUAUGGCCUCCUAGGCUGGGCUGGGAUGGGGGCGGGUACACAGUGGGGAUUCCCACCUGUCCAGGAGCUGCCUUCUCUGUCCCCACUCUCCACCUCUCACUUCUGGAACUUAAGGGAGCCAGGGAACAUCUAAAAUUGAGACUAGAGAGGUGGGAAGAAAAUCUCAUUCAUUGAGUACUUACUGUAUGCCACGCACUUUGGAAACAUUCGUUGUAUUCUCUCCACAAGCCAGGUGUCAUUCCCUGCUAAGGGAAGAGGCUCAGAGAGGUUAAGUGACCUGCUCAAGAUCUCAUAGCUGGCUGAGCAUGGUGGCUCAUGCCUGUAAUCUGUGCACUUUAGGAGGCCAAGGCAGGGUAGAUCACUUGAGCUCAGGAGUUCGAGACCAGCCUGGGCAACAUAGCAAG